rfam:Chromobacterium violaceum ATCC 12472, complete genome.
UGGGUUUUCCGGCUCGCCGCACUUGUCGGGUUUUCAAACCCCUAUUGAAACGGAGCAAUCCAAAUGGCAAUGACCGCCGCUCAAAAAGCAGAAAUCGUUAAAGGCUUCCAACGCGCUGAA